CUAUCAGAGACCCCCAGCGGGGGAUCACACUGGAGAGACCGUGAAGGGCGAUCACUUGGAACUAACCCUGAGAAGUAUGGCACGAGGAGAACUCUGAAGGCGAUCAUUGAGGGGGAGAACCUUAAGCAACGUUUUCCUAAUACUGGAGGACUUGGAGGGGGUGGAAGAGAGAGGGUCGUGGAGAGCACCUAGAGAGGCUUCGCGCGGGGAUCGAGCUUGGUUUGGGAAAGCGUGGGCUUCCCGAGGGCAGCGCUGGCACAGAGCACCUGGCGCUGAGCAGCAGCGAAGGAGGAGGACGAGGAAACAGGAGGCUGACUCACGUGGGCCGGGGGGGCACAGUUGGUGAGCUCAGCAUCCUCUUCCUACCCUGC
rnacentral:lncRNA from 1 species